rnacentral:rRNA from 1 species
AUUGAACGCUGGCGGCAGGCUUAACACAUGCAAGUCGAGCGGAGAUGAGGUGCUUGCACCUUAUCUUAGCGGCGGACGGGUGAGUAAUGCUUAGGAAUCUGCCUAUUAGUGGGGGACAACAUUCCGAAAGGAAUGCUAAUACCGCAUACGUCCUACGGGAGAAAGCAGGGGACCUUCGGGCCUUGCGCUAAUAGAUGAGCCUAAGUCGGAUUAGCUAGUUGGUGGGGUAAAGGCCUACCAAGGCGACGAUCUGUAGCGGGUCUGAGAGGAUGAUCCGCCACACUGGGACUGAGACACGGCCCAGACUCCUACGGGAGGCAGCAGUGGGGAAUAUUGGACAAUGGGCGGAAGCCUGAUCCAGCCAUGCCGCGUGUGUGAAGAAGGCCUUUUGGUUGUAAAGCACUUUAAGCGAGAAGGAGGCUACUAGUACUAAUACUACUGGAUAGUGGACGUUACUCGCAGAAUAAGCACCGGCUAACUCUGUGCCAGCCGCCGCUGUAAAAC